CUGGUAUGAAGCAAACAGUGAACAACAGUCUCAAGAGAAUAAAAAAAGACUACGUAGCGAGAAUACAGCCUCAAAAAUAUUAUCAUUAAUAUCCUCGAAGAAACAAGAGAAAAUAUUGCAUUCUUGAAACAAAAACAGCUAAAGAAUAUUCAGAUUAUAUAUGGGGCGGGGUGGAGAAUGAGGAAGGCAAAAUUUAAUAAAAGUAUUAGAAGACAGUUGAAAAUUUUUGAAAAGUAAAAUAACACAAAAAGGUGAUGAAGGAGCCCAGGGUAUGUAAAUUAGAGGUCGAACUUUCAAAUACUAGGAGUCUCAUAGAACACAGCAAAUGUGGGAAGGGGGACAGGUAUGAGGAAAGUAAAAAGGCAUUUUAAAAAAAUCAAGAACAGUUGUGAAAGUGAUUGCACUGAUUAACAGACAUCUUAGAUUGAGUAGAGAAAGAGAUGAAGCCAAACGAGUGCUAAUAUUCUGACAAAAUGGGGAGGGGGUGGGUACAGGAAUGCAAGAUUCCCUGUAUCUGAAGAGAGCAGGGAGGCAGAAGGGAGAAGUGGGGUUGAAAGAUCUCUUUAGAAUAAGAUACUUAUAGGAGGAUUUUUUUUUUUUUUUGCAAGCUCUUUUUUCUACAGGGUGAUGUUUUAACUUCCUCAAGACUGUGGUACCUUGAAGGAUGAAUGAGCCUAGAAUAUUUUAUGGAAUGUGUGAUAAUGAAGUGAUUCAUUUGGCAGUUGCAAAACAAGGCCACCACAGGGUCUAUUAACGAUUCAUACAUUUUAACAAUUUCCAGAGGCAAUUUGAUAAAUGACACAGGAUAAAUUCAGAUUACCAGCAGGUUAUACUCGAUUAGAACAUUUUCCGCCUUGGGCUGAGUGAGCAUUCCAAGAAUGUAUUUAACGAGAUGCUAUACUAAUCAGCCAUUACCUGGGUAUAUGUUUCUAUAAGUGCUGAAGCUAACUGCUGAAUAAACGAGUUUUCUAAAAUAUUCCUUACCUCUACAUAGACCAUUUUAUUUAUUUUUAAUUUUAUUUAUUUUUUCAUGAGAGACACACAGAGAAAGACAGAGACACAGGCAGAGGGAGAAGCAGGUUCCCUGUAGGAAGCCUGAUGCGGGACUCCAUCCCAGGACCCCAGGGAUCAUGACCUGAGCCAAAGGCAGAUGCUCAACCCCUGAGCCACCCAGGCGCCCCAAACACAGAUCAUUUUAAAAAGAAUCACAUAUUUUCAGUUGUUAACUUCAAUCAACAAAUAUUUAUUGAUGAAAUGAAGUGACUGGGUGAUUGGCAAAAGGACAAGUGAGAACACAAUUCUCAGUAGAAUCUUGACAGGUGAAAAUUAGAUAUCAAUAGUAAGAGUAUCAAAUACGUGUGCAAAAUACUUUAUAAAUCUUGUCAUGUAUAUUUACUUUAUUUGAUCCUCACAACAAUCCUUGGAGGUGUUGUUACACCCUAUUUUACAAGUGGGAAAAUUGCUUUAAAGAUUUUCAAUGAUUUAUCUAAGGACAUUGGCAAGUCAUUUUUUUCCCCGACACACUUCA
rnacentral:lncRNA from 1 species